AUUGAACGCUGGCGGCAGGCCUAACACAUGCAAGUCGAACGAGUGGCGGACGGGUGAGUAAUGACUGGGAAACUGCCUGAUGGAGGGGGAUAACUACUGGAAACAGUAGCUAAUACCGCAUACAAUCGGAUGGGCCCAGAUGGGAUGAGCUAGUAGGGGGGGUAACGGCUCACCUAGGCGACGAUCCCUAGCUGGUCUGAGAGGAUGACCAGCCACACUGGAACUGAGACACGGGCCAGACUCCUACGGGAGGCAGCAGUGGGGAAUAUUGCAAAAUGGGCGAAAGCCUGAUGCAGCCAUGCCGCGUGUAUGAAGAAGGCCUUCGGAUUGUAAAGUACUUUCAGCUGGGAGGCGUUACUCGCAGAAGAAGCACCGGCUAACUCCGUGCCAGCCGCCGCGGUAAUUC
rnacentral:rRNA from 1 species